GAUGAACGCUGGCGGCGUGCCUAAUACAUGCAAGUCGAGCGAACGGACGAGAAGCUUGCUUCUCUGAUGUUAGCGGCGGACGGGUGAGUAACACGUGGAUACCCUCCCUAUAAGACUGGGAUAACUUCGGGAAACCGGAGCUAAUACCGGAUGAUAUUUUGAACCGCAUGGUUCAAAAGUGAAAGACGGUCUUGCUGUCACUUAUAGAUGGAUCCGCGCUGCAUUAGCUAGUUGGUAAGGUAACGGCUUACCAAGGCAACGAUGCGUAGCCGACCUGAGAGGGGGAUCGGCCACACUGGAACUGGACCACGGUCCAGACUCCUACGGGAGGCAGCAGUAGGGAAUGGUCCGCAAUGGGCGAAAGCCUGACGGAGCAACGCCGCGUGAGUGAUGAAGGUCUUCGGAUCGUAAAACUCUGUUAUUAGGGAAGAACAUAUGUGUAAGUAACUGUGCACAUCUUGACGGUACCUAAUCAGAAAGCCACGGCUAACUACGUG
rnacentral:rRNA from 1 species